ACGGAAGGCAGCAGUGAGGAAUAUUGGUCGAUGGGCGAGAGCCUGAACCAGCCAAGUAGCGUGAAGGAUGACUGCCCUACGGGUUGUAAACUUCUUUUAUACGGGAAUAAAAAAGGCCACGCGUGGCCUCUUGUAUGUACCGUAUGAAUAAGCAUCGGCUAAUUCCGUGCCAGCAGCCGCGGUAAUACGGAAGAUGCGAGCGUUAUCCGGAUUUAUUGGGUUUAAAGGGAGCGUAGGCGGGUCUUUAAGUCAGUGGUCAAAGCGUGUGGCUCAACCAUACCACGCCAUUGAUACUGGAGACCUUGAGUGCACAUAAGGAUGGUGGAAUUCGUCGUGUAGCGGUGAAAUGCUUAGAUAUGACGAAGAACUCCGAUUGCGAAGGCAGCUGUCCGGGGUGUAACUGACGCUAAUGCUCGAAAGUGCGGGUAUCAAACAGGAUUAGAUACCCUGGUA
rnacentral:rRNA from 1 species